CAAUAGCGUAUAUUAAAGUUGUUGCGGUUAAAAAGCUCGUAGUUGGAUUUCUGCCGAGGACGACCGGUCCGCCCUCUGGGUGUGUAUCUGGUUUGGCCUGGGCAUCUUCUUGGAGAACGUAGCUGCACUUGACUGUGUGGUGCGGUGUCCAGGACUUUUACUUUGAGGAAAUUAGAGUGUUUCAAGCAGGCACACGCCUUGAAUACAUUAGCAUGGAAUAAUAAGAUAGGACCUCGGUUCUAUUUUGUUGGUUUCUAGAGCUGAGGUAAUGAUUAAUAGGGAUAGUUGGGGGCAUUCGUAUUUAACUGUCAGAGGUGAAGUUCUUGGAUUUGUUAAAGACGGACUACUGCGAAAGCAUUUGCCAAGGAUGUUUUCAUUG
rnacentral:rRNA from 1 species